rnacentral:tRNA from 1 species
GCCACCUUAGCUCAGCUGGUAGAGCAACCGCCUUGUAAGCGGUAGGUCGUCGGUUCGAACCCGACAGGUGGCUCCA